CCCGCACAAGCGGAGGAGCAUGUGGUUUAAUUCGAUGAUACGCGAGGAACCUUACCUGGGCUCGAACGUAAGAUGACUGUAGGUGAAAGCUUACAUCUCUUCGGAGCAUUUUACGAGGUGCUGCAUGGUUGUCGUCAGCUCGUGCCGUGAGGUGUCGGGUUAAGUCCCAUAACGAGCGCAACCCCUACCUUUAGUUGCCAUCAGGUUAAGCUGGGGACUCUAAAGGAACUGCCUACGCAAGUAGUGAGGAAGCGGGGAUGACGUCAAAUCAGCACGGCCCUUACGUCCAGGGCUACACACGUGCUACAAUGGCCGAUACAGAGGGCAGCUACCUGGUGACAGGAUGCAAAUCUCCAAAGUCGGUCUCAGUUCGGAUCGGAGUCUGCAACCCGACUCCGUGAAGUUGGAUUCGCUAGUAAUCGCGCAUCAGCCAUGGCGCGGUGAAUACGUUCCCGGGCCUU
rnacentral:rRNA from 1 species